rnacentral:rRNA from 1 species
UACGGGGGGGGGCAAGCGUUGUUCGGAAUUACUGGGCGUAAAGGCUCGUAGGCGGCCAACUAAGUCGGAUGUGAAAUCCCCAGGCUUAACCUGGGAACUGCAUCCGAUACUGGAUGGCUUGAAUCCGGGAGAGGGAUGCAGAAUUCCAGGUGUAGCGGUGAAAUGCGUAGAUAUCUGGAGGAAUACCGGUGGCGAAGGCGGCAUCCUGGACCGGCAUUGACGCUGAUGAGCGAAAGCUAGGGGAGCAAACGGG